rnacentral:tRNA from 1 species
GCUUCUGUGGCGCAGUGGUAGCGCGCAUUCUUGGUAAGAAUGAGGCCACGGGUUCGAUCCCCGUCAGAAGCUC